rnacentral:pre_miRNA from 1 species
GUACUACUCCCUCCGUCCAAAAAUAUUUGUCAUCAAAAUGGAUAAAAAGAGAUGUAUCUAGAACUAAAAUACAUCUAGAUACAUCCCUUUUUAUCCAUUUCGAUGACAAGUAUUUCCGGAUGGAGGGAGUAUAAG